rnacentral:rRNA from 1 species
UACGGAGGGUGCAAGCGUUGCUCGGAAUUAUUGGGCGUAAAGGGUAGGUAGGUGGUCUCAUUUGUCUGGGGUGAAAUCCUUGGGCUUAACUCAAGAAGUGCCCCAGAAACGGUGAGACUAGAGUCCUGGAGAGGGUCGUGGAAUUCCCGGUGUAGCGGUGAAAUGCGUAGAGAUCGGGAGGAACACCAGAGGCGAAAGCGGCGACCUAGACAGGCACUGACACUCAACUACGAAAGCGUGGGGAGCAAACAGG